rnacentral:rRNA from 1 species
GACGGAGGAUGCAAGCGUUAUCCGGAAUGAUUGGGCGUAAAGCGUCUGCAGGUGGCAGUUCAAGUCUGCUGUCAAAGACCGGGGCUUAACUUCGGAAAGGCAGUGGAAACUGAACAGCUAGAGUAUGGUAGGGGCAGAGGGAAUUCCUGGUGUAGCGGUGAAAUGCGUAGAGAUCAGGAAGAACAUCGGUGGCGAAGGCGCUCUGCUGACCAUAACUGACACUCAGGGACGAAAGCUAGGGGAGCGAAUGGG